UACGUAGGGGCCUAGCGUUGUCCGGAAUUAUUGGGCGUAAAGAGCUCGUAGGCGGUUCGGCAAGUCGGAUGUGAAAUCUCCACGCUUAACGUGGAGGGGCCAUUCGAAACUGCUGUGACUCGAGUCCGGUAGGGGAGUGUGGAAUUCCCGGUGUAGCGGUGAAAUGCGCAGAUAUCGGGAGGAACACCAGUGGCGAAGGCGGCUCACUGGCCCGGUACUGACGCUGAGGUGCGAAAGCGUGGGGAGCAAACAGG
rnacentral:rRNA from 1 species